UCAAGUCUCUGCACCUGCUGCUAUGGCGUGUGCGGUGAAUGCGGUUCAGGGUUGCCCGUAAAGACUUACAGGUGGUUGAAGAGAAUGGUGCGCUACCGGUGAACACCUUAUGAGGGAGGUGUCAUUGUGUCUUGAGCUCCGAAGAAUCGUAGCGGAACAACUGCUGUUCAAUGAAUGGGUCACUGGACAUGCGGUCUACAUAACUACAGUACAUGUGACGCAAAAGCAAACGUCUCAGCGGAGCGCCCAAGCGCUCUUGUCAAGCGACUCUGACAGCUGCCAACGGAGCCACAUGGUCACAUAAACAAAGAGUAAAGUCGCCGAACACACGGGGCAUCAGCAGCCGCAGCCCCAAAACUUCACAGCAGCCUAUUAACCGUAACAUUCAACAGACAAAAUAACAGCAACACACGCUGAAGAAGAAGAACCCCACUGCGCACCCGCAAUGGAACGCACUGAAAUGGUUCAUGAAAGACAGGCUAAAUACUAAAAGGCAAGUCACUUUCUACAGCAGGCUAGGAAACCGUUGAAGUGCUUGUCCUAGUUCAAGGGGUCCUAUAUAGACGAGGCACUAUCGUUGUGUACGAGUGUGCACGUAUAUCGCAUGUGUCACGAAAUUACAAGGUCAUUAGUUUUAAAGGAAACAUUGUGCAGAAAUCCUGCCACGCGUUUCCUUGGAAAUAAAAACGGCACCACUUGGAUUUUGAAACGUGAUUUUAACAUUUUAUUUUCAUUGAAUGUUCAGGAAACAUAAACAAAUACGCGAAUUUAGUUUGCCCUUCUGCUAAGAGACAGCAUGCAGAUAUUUUAUUUCCGACGUAGAAUUUGCAACGACAAAAGUUUCAAGGAAAAUCGAUGGGUUUUUUCUUGCAUGGCUAGUUGAGCAUUUCGCAUGAGGGUGGCCGAUGUCAAUAAAGGUGACUGCAAAUUUGACAAUUCUGAAGAAUGAAGUUAUAAAUGCACAACACAUCAACUGCUUCACAGCAAGACGCAGACCUCUUUAUGUGCUGCUAUGGUUGACUGUGCUUCCCACUUGGGGCAGCUUCAAUGCGGCACAGCAGUGCCACAUGUUGAGUCACACCACGAACAUUUGAAUGGCCUGGGGACAAUCACGCUAUACACCGCAUCGCAUGAAAGGAAAACUAAAUAAAUGGUGUCAAAUUGUCUCGUCCAUUAUUUGUCACGUGACUCUUUCUUCUUCCCAUUCCGAACGGUUGUCUUAUUGCCGGGCCCGAAAGUUGUUCAAGCAAAGCUCAUACAACACAAGGAAGAAAAAUCGUGCGUG